rnacentral:rRNA from 1 species
AGGGCGUAAAGGGCUCGCAGGCGGUUUCUUAAGUCUGAUGUGAAAGCCCCCGGCUCAACCGGGGAGGGUCAUUGGAAACUGGGGAACUUGAGUGCAGAAGAGGAGAGUGGAAUUCCACGUGUAGCGGUGAAAUGCGUAGAGAUGUGGAGGAACACCAGUGGCGAAGGCGACUCUCUGGUCUGUAACUGACGCUGAGGAGCGAAAGCGUGGGGAGCGAACAGGAUUAGAUACCCUGGUAGUCCACGCCGUAAACGAUGAGUGCUAAGUGUUAGGGGGUUUCCGCCCCUUAGUGCUGCAGCUAACGCAUUAAGCACUCCGCCUGGGGAGUACGGUCGCAAGACUGAAACUCAAAGGAAUUGACGGGGGCCCGCACAAGCGGUGGAGCAUGUGGUUUAAUUCGAAGCAACGCGAAGAACCUUACCAGGUCUUGACAUCCUCUGACAACCCUAGAGAUAGGGCUUUCCCUUCCGGGACACAGUGACACGUGGUGCAUGGGUGUCUUCAGCUCUUGUCGCGAGAUGUUGGGUUAAGUCCCGCACCGAGCGCAACCCUUGAUCUUAGUUGCGAGCAUUCAGUUGGGCACUCUCUGGUGACUGCGGGUGACACACCGGAGGAAGGUGGGGAUGACAUCUAAUCAUCAUGCGCCUUAUGACCUGUGCUACACACGUGCU